rnacentral:rRNA from 1 species
UACGUAGGGGGGCAAGCGUUGUCCGGAUUUAUUGGGCGUAAAGAGCGUGUAGGCGGCCAUACAGGUCCGUUGUGAAAACUGGAGGCUUAACCUCCAGACGUCGAUGGAAACCGUAUGGCUAGAGUCCGGAAGAGGAGAGUGGAAUUCCUGGUGUAGCGGUGAAAUGCGCAGAUAUCAGGAAGAACACCCGUGGCGAAGGCGGCUCUCUGGGCCACUACUGACGCUGAGAAGCGAAAGCAUGGGGAGCGAACAGG